UACAUGUGGGGCAAGCGUUGUUCGGAAUUACUGGGCAUAAAGGGUGCGUAGGCGGUUUGUUAGGUCACUGGUGAAAGUUUUCGGCCCAACCGGAAAAUUGCCUGUGAUACCGGCGAACUUGAGUGCGUGAGGGGUGGGGGGAACGAGCAGUGUAGCGGUGAAAUGCGUAGAUAUCAGGAGGAACACCGGUGGUGUAGACGGCUUUCUGGACCGUAACUGACGCUGAGACACGAAAGCGUGGGUAGCAAACAGG
rnacentral:rRNA from 1 species